rnacentral:rRNA from 1 species
UACGUAGGGUGCAAGCGUUGUCCGGAAUUAUUGGGCGUAAAGAGCUCGUAGGCGGUCUGUCGCGUCGGCUGUGAAAUCCCGAGGCUCAACCUCGGGUCUGCAGUCGAUACGGGCAAACUGGAGUACUGCAGGGGAGACUGGAAUUCCUGGUGUAGCGGUGAAAUGCGCAGAUAUCAGGAGGAACACCGGUGGCGAAGGCGGGUCUCUGGGCCGAUAUUGACGCUGAGGAGCGAAAGCAUGGGGAGCGAACAGG